UGUCUGUCUACUCGCUCAAGUUUCCCAGGAGCCCCAGGCAGCACACUUUCCUCCUCUGAGCUCCACAGCACAGCUGGCUCUACAGCACAACGCUGAGCGUGCCCCAGUCGCACGCCCUCCUCUCUUUGGAGAUGGGAGCAACAGGGACACACGGCUUCCCACACUUCUGAAUGCAGCUUGCUGAGCCGCGAGACAUAAUAGAAGUGUGUCUGCUCUCACAAAGACCCACUGGCUGUUCCCAUGCACAGCCAGCCAUGCUGGGAGAGAGAUUGGUUUAUAGGGCAGUCUAGUACCAACAGACAAACCAUCUGUAUCCCUGAUAACUCAGAUUGGGAAUACUUUAAGGAAUUGCACAAUAUUUUUAAAAUAUUUCUGCUUAACAUAUAUAUUGAAGAGAAAGUUUACAAAUGUACCAUUUUAUGGAUACGCCAAAAGUUGCUUAUGUAUCGGGGCCAUUAGCAAAUAGGAUUGAUUAGCUGAUCUAGUAGACUCUUGCCAUGACCAAGUUCCUGUGAAAAGGCCAUUUCAGAAAUAUGGCUAUUACACACAUUUAUCGUCAUUAUGUGAUUUGGGAUCUAAUGCAAUGAUAGUUAGCUGCUGUAGGACGAAAAAGACUUGUGAUCCUAGCAUAUGUCACAUUUGCAUUUUGUUGAUUUGUGUCACAACUUGACAUGGGAACAGUCUUUUUCUGAGUACACAUGGGUAUAUAGAGACGUUCUCAGGGACUAACGUGGCCAACCUCUUUUGCAUAUGGCUUAACAUCCCACCUGUCCUGUGCGGAAUCAGCUAUUAUUCCCACUGACUAUUGUCCCACCUUCAGAGCCCUCUGAUUGGCUGCAGAGCAUAAAACAGCGCGAGAGGAGGCACAUAAAUACAGAGUGGAGUUGCAGAGUUCACUAUCGAAUACUCUCUUAGCAUCAGCUGAGCCAAGAUCAGCAGCAACACAGCAGAACAGAGGAGCUAUCAGAACACAAACUCCAGACCACCAUCAAGACCUAGAAAGAUCAACAUUUGUACUUGAUUUCCGAGCUGCAAACCCAAGGCCAACAUCUGAAAAUGCCUGCCUACUUGGACAUUGCUCUUCAGGGCAGCAUGAAUGUGAAAGAUCAGCACAUUAGAUGUAAACUCUCUCUGUUGGAGAGGAAGUGCAGCAGCGGUGUGGAGAAACUGAAGAUAGUUAUUGGAGAACACCUACAGAACGGGAUCCCUACAUCUCCCAUAUCUCCUAUUCUGGAGAAAACGGUGUCAUUUUUCACUCCCAAGAAGGUCUUGCUGUCACCCACCGGCUAUUCCAAAUAUUCCAGGGACAUGCUGCGUCUCUUUCCCGCUCCAGAGGAGGACAUUGUACCACUCUGCUUCGAACAAUGAACUGAUAGAUGCAUGGACGUGGAGGUUACCAUUCAGAGCUCACAGACCCUGCUGUAAUUAACUGUGGCCUAUUCCCUUGUGAUGCUGCUAUAGACAUGGACUGCAACUGAUUGGCAGAUAUUGGAUCGCAACUGACAGAGAGACAUAGCUAAAUGAAUAAUAUUUUUUUUAUAAUACAUUUUGUCUAAAAGUACAAUGAUUUUGUGAAGCUUAGUUUUGUGUAUGUUGCAAAUUCUCUAGAAAUUAUUUGGAAAUGCAUUGCAUGCAUUGUUAUAAGCAGUUAUACUGCUCUAUCCUUUCCCUGAGAAAGUCACCUUUGGAUGAAUUUGUUGAUCUAUGUUACCUGAAAGAGAGCGGAGUUGGUUACUCUGAUUGUAAACACUUGUCCUCAGAGUUUGAAUUACAGAGUGCUGGCCACUCUUGUUAUAAAGUAGAAGUAUUGAAAAUAUGACCAUUGGUUUAUCCCACUUUCUUAGGGUAUGUGAGUCAAUGUAUAAUUUGAACCCUGCUUUCCUUUAUACUAAUGGGAAAUGCUAUGAUUUUCUUGUUAAAGCAUAUUGUUUAUUUUGUUUUCAAUUACUUAUUAAUGGCUUCACACAUACACAAAUGUGCCUAAAGGGUUUUCAAAUGUGCCUAACAUGUUUCAUUCAAAGACUAAAUAAAUAUUUUGAUAAUAUA